rnacentral:tRNA from 1 species
CAGAGAAUAGUUUAUGAAAAAUAUUAAUUUUGGAGAUUAAUGAAAAGAUAGUUCUUUUCUCUGA